CCCGACUGCAAGACACCGCAGCAGCCCCUACAAUUGGUUGUCAAGAGGAUGUACAUUUGUAUUUGUGAACUUUACCCCUUACUGUUUUCAGGUCUCGUCUCAUCUCAGUUUCCUUUAUCCCAGCCUGAGGUCAUUCAGAUCUGCCUAUGAUGCUUUGAUGCAAGCUGAUCAUUGAUGCAAGACUUCCUGCUUUCAAAAAGGCCCUAGUCUGUCUACAUGCUGUGACAGGGAGAUUUGUUGAUUUACUUAAAAGGUUAACCCGGAAACUCUAGCCCAGGGAAACUUAACGAUUAAAGGGAAUUUCCAAUCCGACAACUGCCACUGUGAAAUCCAUUCUAUUUCCCCCACAAUUAAAAAGCUACUUUUCCAUAGAAAGGAAAGGGAAGAGAUUGCAAUCUGUAUACAAUUUAAAUUUAAGCCUCCAUGUCUUGCAUUAGUCAAAAGGUUGGUUCAGACUUCAGAUUGUGGUCAGAGUCGAGGGUCUGCGAUCCUGUGCGAUAGGUCAGAAUAAUGCCAUCCACACUCUUGCGAUGUGCAUCUUUUUCGGAAAGUCGUAAAGCCUUUUCUCAUGCGUCUGCGACCUAAAAUUGCAUAGGGUUGGAUAAUGUUGAAAAAUGUCAACAUUUGCUACAUAGUCAGAGUGAAGAUGCACAUUCAUCUGCGGCAGAAGUAUGAACUAGCCCUAACACUUUAUUUUAAAACAGGCAGUUGCUAUGCACAUGGCUGCUGUACAUAUUAGAAGAAUUCUAUUUUUCCGGCGAUGUGUCACGACUCAAAAUUACGACAUUAUUCUCCUGGAAGACAAGGGGGUAUUUUAUUAAUAAGACUACAGCAGCUGGAACAAUAACAUUCAUAUGGCUGUUCUACAUAUGAGAAGAAUGCUGAUGUGCCACACUAUAGCUACAGAUCUUACAUUAAAGCACCAUCUGAUGAUGACACCAAUGUAUACACAUGCCAUGUAAAUGCUGUUUAUUGCUUAUCACUCAAAGACAUGUGGUGAUAACACAUUUUAAUAAAGUCAUUCAAAUGAACAUAUUCUGUAACUAGUACUUAUUUUAAUAACCCAAUGCCAGGCAGUUGUGUUGAUCUUUGGCAUCCCAGGAGUAGACAUUGGUCCUUUUGGUCCCAUCAAUAAUUUAUCCAUUAAUGUUUCCAAUUUUAAUUACCAAAGCUCAAAGUUGGCAGAGACUUAAAAAAAAAAAAAAUAUCCAAGAUGGCCGCUGGGUGAAAGUUAAAGGGAGGCUUGGUCCGUAUUUAUUACACAUUUAAAACAUUUUUUGUGUUUUUUUUUUUUUUUAAAUUUCAGAUAUGUUUAAGUUAGAUGAAAGCUGUUUACAAAAACCAGUUCGGUUUUUUUGUUAGUUAAAUUACGUUUGCCCACCCUACUGUAAGUGGAUAACUACCGAUAGCCAGGACUGUGUCUUAGCUCACUCGACGCCAUCUCACAAUCUCGUCUCACUCGCACUCUCCACAACCCACCCACGUCACAUAAUCUCUGCAUCCCAUGUGACCGCUUACGGGAAAAAUGCAAUACUCUGUGUUUUCCCGGUAUCUGGAGACAUUUCAUUUAAAAUAUUAACAACU